AUUGAACGCUGGCGGCAGGCCUAACACAUGCAAGUCGAACGGUAACAGGAAACAGCUUGCUGUUUCGCUGACGAGUGGCGGACGGGUGAGUAAUGUCUGGGAAACUGCCUGAUGGAGGGGGAUAACUACUGGAAACGGUAGCUAAUACCGCAUAACGUCGCAAGACCAAAGAGGGGGACCUUCGGGCCUCUUGCCAUCAGAUGUGCCCAGAUGGGAUUAGCUAGUAGGUGGGGUAACGGCUCACCUAGGCGACGAUCCCUAGCUGGUCUGAGAGGAUGACCAGCCACACUGGAACUGAGACACGGUCCAGACUCCUACGGGAGGCAGCAGUGGGGAAUAUUGCACAAUGGGCGCAAGCCUGAUGCAGCCAUGCCGCGUGUAUGAAGAAGGCCUUCGGGUUGUAAAGUACUUUCAGCGGGGAGGAAGGGAGUAAAGUUAAUACCUUUGCUCAUUGACGUUACCCGCAAAAGAAGACCGGCUAACUCUGUCUCCACAGUCGCGGUA
rnacentral:rRNA from 1 species